rnacentral:rRNA from 1 species
CGGGUCGAUAAGUCAGUGGUGAAAGCCUGCAGCUUAACUGUAGAACUGCCGUUGAUACUGUCGGUCUUGAGUGUAUUUGAGGUAGCUGGAAUGAGUAGUGUAGCGGUGAAAUGCAUAGAUAUUACUCAGAACACCAAUUGCGAAGGCAGGUUACCAAGUUACAACUGACGCUGAUGGACGAAAGCGUGGGGAGCGAACAGGAUUAGAUACCCUGGUAGUCCACGCUGUAAACGAUGCUAACUCGUUUUUGGGGUAUUAUACUUCAGAGACCAAGCGAAAGUGAUAAGUUAGCCACCUGGGGAGUACGAACGCAAGUUUGAAACUCAAAGGAAUUGACGGGGGCCCGCACAAGCGGUGGAUUAUGUGGUUUAAUUCGAUGAUACGCGAGGAACCUUACCAAGACUUAAAUGGGAAUUGACAGCUGUAGAAAUACGGUUUUCUUCGGACAAUUUUCAAGGUGCUGCAUGGUUGUCGUCAGCUCGUGCCGUGAGGUGUUAGGUUAAGUCCUGCAACGAGCGCAACCCCUGUCACUAGUUGCCAUCAUUAAGUUGGGGACUCUAGUGAGACUGCCUACGCAAGUAGAGAGGAAGGUGGGGAUGACGUCAAAUCAUCACGGCCCUUACGUCUUGGGCCACACACGUAAUACAAUGGCCGGUACAGAGGGCAGCUACACUGCGAAGUGAUGCGAAUCUCGAAAGCCGGUCUCAGUUCGGAUUGGAGUCUGCAACUCGACUCUAUGAAGCUGGAAUCGCUAGUA